GACGAACGCUGGCGGCGCGCUUAACACAUGCAAGUCGAACGGAAAGGCCUGCUUUCCCUUGUGGAUUGCGGGUACUCGAGUGGCGAACGGGUGAGUAACACGUGAGUGAUCUGCCCCCAACUUUGGUAUAAGCCUGGGAAACUGGGUCUAAUUCCCGAUAGGACUGCAGGGUGGUGCCUGUGGUGGAAAACGAUUUUCUAGUGGUUGGGGAUGAGCUCGCGGCCUAUCAGCUUGUUGGUGGGGUAAUGGCCUACCAAGGCGGCGACGGGUAGCCGGCCUGAGAGAGUGGACGGCCACAGUGGGACUGAGAUACGGCCCAGACUCCUACGGGAGGCAGCAGUGGGGAAUAUUGCACAAUGGGCGGAAGCCUGAGGCAGCGACGCCGCGUGGGGGAUGACGGCCUUCGGGUUGUAAACUCCUUUCGGCCGCGAGGAAGCCACCUGGUUGGAAGGGUGGUGACGGUAGUGGUAGAAGAAGCACCGGCUAACUACGUG
rnacentral:rRNA from 1 species